GACUCUCGGCAACGGAUAUCUCGACUCUCGCAUCGACAAAGAACAUAUCGAUAUGCGAUACUUGGCGUGAAUUGCAGAAUCCCGUGAACCAUCAAGUCUUUGAACGAAAUUGCGCCCGAAGUCCUUAGGCUGAGGGCACGUCUGCCUGGCCAUGA
rfam:Beta vulgaris subsp. vulgaris Bvchr6.sca027.con0124.1, whole genome shotgun sequence.